rnacentral:rRNA from 1 species
CAGUAGCCGCGGGAAUACGUAGGGUGCGAGCGUUAAUCGGAAUUACUGGGCGUAAAGCGUGCGCAGGCGGUUCGUUAAGACAGAUGUGAAAUCCCCGGGCUUAACCUGGGGACUGCAUUUGUGACUGGCGAGCUAGAGUAUGGCAGAGGGGGGUAGAAUUCCACGUGUAGCAGUGAAAUGCGUAGAGAUGUGGAGGAAUACCGAUGGCGAAGGCAGCCCCCUGGGCCAAUACUGACGCUCAUGCACGAAAGCGUGGGGAGCAAACAGGAUUAGAUACCCGCGUAGUCCCUGUCUCUUAUAC